CUUUACUUUCUUUAUUUGCGCUAAGGUAUAAUAAUUUAUUCCAUGCUUACAGAGACUAUUGUGAAGAUUAAAUACGAUAAUAGAUGACAAACUUUCAACAUUCAAUGGAUGCUCCUCAUUGUGAUAUGUGCUGUAUCACACUCCUUUUCCAUCUUCGGAAAUAGACUGACCAAGACUCAGUUACAACGAUUUUUUAGAUCACAAUCAUUUGAAGUUUUUGCCCUUAUGGAAAUAAUCAAAAUUAUACAGUCAUAUAUGGAUUACAAUAGUCUGGACAGAAAUUGUAGCAACAGACAACACUUUGCAGGAUUGAGGUCAAGAUGGUGCGUAGGCAGACUCUGAACUCAUCUCCUCCCAUGGACAUAACAAAUUUAGAACCACUCUUGGAACAAUUGCUCCUGAAAGAGAACUGAAAACUGGAUAAAAAGAAUGCCCACAAGAAGGGACAGUGCCAACUGAGGUGGAAGAAGCAGAAAUUCCCCUCUGGAGAGAAAAAAGCCACCUUUCAACCACAGCACUUCAUGUUUGGGAGCAAUUCUAAAGAACGAAGGCAUCCCUGGAGGAACAGGGGAUCUGAGUGGGGGAGUGCUACUGCUAUAAGCCACUUAUAGACUCUGCACAACUGAGA
rnacentral:lncRNA from 1 species